UACGGGGGGGGCAAGCGUUGUUCGGAAUUACUGGGCGUAAAGGGCUCGUAGGCGGCCAACUAAGUCGGAUGUGAAAUCCCCAAGCUUAACUUGGGAACUGCAUCCGAUACUGGAUGGCUUGAAUCCGGGAGAGGGAUGCAGAAUUCCAGGUGUAGCGGUGAAAUGCGUAGAUAUCGGGAGGAACACCAGUGGCGAAGGCGAUCUUCUGGACGGAUACUGACGCUGAGGCGCGAAAGCUAGGGGAGCAAACGGG
rnacentral:rRNA from 1 species